AACGCACGAGACCUGCGGACCUGCGGAAGGAUCAUUAAAGAGUGAUGCCACCCUUCAAAGGGCUGGUAGUAAACUCCAACCCCCUAUGUCUUUAUUUACCUUUUUGUUGCUUAGGCGGUUCGUAAAGCUUUUUUUUUUUUAAAAAAAAAUGGCUUUCCAUUGGCUUUUUUCUUAGGCUGAUGAGUUUUAACCGCCAAAGGACUUAAAAACUCUUUGAAAUUUAUUGUCUGAGAUUUUUUU
rnacentral:misc_RNA from 1 species